UCCUACGGGGGGCAGCAGUGAGGAAUAUUGGUCAAUGGUCGGGAGACUGAACCAGCCAAGCCGCGUGAGGGAUGAAGGUACAGAGUAUCGUAAACCUCUUUUGUCAGGGAACAAAGGCGGGGACGUGUCCCCGGAUGAGUGUACCUGAAGAAAAAGCAUCGGCUAACUCCGUGCCAGCAGCCGCGGUAAUACGGAGGAUGCGAGCGUUAUCCGGAUUUAUUGGGCUUAAAGGGUGCGCAGGCGGUCUGUUAAGUCAGCGGUCAAAGCCCGGGGCUCAACCCCGGCCCGCCGUUGAAACUGGCAGG
rnacentral:rRNA from 1 species